AGUGAACGCUGGCGGUAGGCCUAACACAUGCAAGUCGAACGGCAGCACAGUAAGAGCUUGCUCUUACGGGUGGCGAGUGGCGGACGGGUGAGGAAUACAUCGGAAUCUACUUUUUCGUGGGGGAUAACGUAGGGAAACUUACGCUAAUACCGCAUACGACCUACGGGUGAAAGCAGGGGAUCUUCGGACCUUGCGCGAUUGAAUGAGCCGAUGUCGGAUUAGCUAGUUGGCGGGGUAAAGGCCCACCAAGGCGACGAUCCGUAGCUGGUCUGAGAGGAUGAUCAGCCACACUGGACCUGAGACACGGUCCAGACUCCUACGGGAGGCAGCAGUGGGAAUAUUGGACAAUGGGCGCAAGCCUGAUCCAGCCAUACCGCGUGGGUGAAGAAGGCCUUCGGGUUGUAAAGCCCUUUUGUUGGGAAAGAAAAGCAGCAGGUUAAUACCCCGCUGUUCUGACGGUACCCAAAGAAUAAGCACCGGCUAACUUCGUG
rnacentral:rRNA from 1 species